GGCAGCACGGGCUUCGGCCUGGUGGCGAGUGGCGAACGGGUGAGUAAUGCGUCGGAACGUGCCGAGUAAUGGGGGAUAACGCAUCGAAAGGUGUGCUAAUACCGCAUACGCUCUGAGGAGGAAAGCGGGGGACCUUCGGGCCUCGCGUUAUUCGAGCGGCCGACGUCUGAUUAGCUAGUUGGUGGGGUAAAGGCUCACCAAGGCGACGAUCAGUAGCGGGUCUGAGAGGAUGAUCCGCCACACUGGGACUGAGACACGGCCCAGACUCCUACGGGAGGCAGCAGUGGGGAAUUUUGGACAAUGGGCGAAAGCCUGAUCCAGCCAUGCCGCGUGAGUGAAGAAGGCCUUCGGGUUGUAAAGCUCUUUUGUCCGGGAGGAAAUCCCGCAACCUAAUACGUUGCGGGGAUGACAGUACUGGAAGAAUAAGCACCGGCUAACUACGUGCCAGCAGCCGCGGUAAUACGUAGGGUGCAAGCGUUAAUCGGAAUUACUGGGCGUAAAGCGUGCGCAGGCGGUUUGAUAAGUCAGAUGUGAAAUCCCCGGGCUUAACCUGGGAACUGCGUUUGA
rnacentral:rRNA from 1 species